rnacentral:hammerhead_ribozyme from 1 species
AUUCAGAUGAAGAAUCCAAAAGAGGACGAAAUACGCGUUAUCCUGGAU